GUGGGGAAUCUUCCGCAAUGGACGAAACCCUGAAGGAGCGACGCCGCGUGGGGGAUGAAGGGCUUCGGCUCGUAAACCCCUGUCAUUUGUGAGCAAGUGUUAUUGUUUAAGAGAUGAUGACAUUGAUAGUAGCAAAAGAGGAAGGGACGGCUAACUUCGUGCCAGCAGCCGCGGUAAUACGAAGGGGGCUAGCGUUGCUCGGAAUUACUGGGCGUAAAGGGCGAGUAGGCGGACAGCUUAGUCAGAGGUGAAAGCCCAGGGCUCAAUCUUGGAAUUGCCUUUGUUACUGGCUGUGUUGAGUUUGGGAGAGGUGGGUGGAACUCCGAGUGUAGAGGUGAAAUUCGUAGAUAUUCGGAAGAACACCAGUGGCGAAGGCGACUCACUGGCCCAAUACUGACGCUGAGGCGCGAAAGCGUGGGGAGCAAACAGGAUUAGAUACCCUAGUAGUC
rnacentral:rRNA from 1 species